rnacentral:lncRNA from 7 species
ACGUUCUGGCUGGGAACGCUCCGAUGCCGCGAACCUCGGCGAUCAAGCGGAAUAGCAGAUCGUGCUUCUGUAUUUAAGGCUGCUAGGCUGAAAGUGCUGCCGAUGCGAAAUUAAAAUGGAGCUGAAGCUGAAGUUAGAAGAAAAGCACAGUGUAUCCGGCGGCUAUUAUUCAGGGUCUUUCAUGAAACUCGUGUCCAAGGAGGCUUCCAAAACCUUCCGUCUACUGCCCUGUCGGUUUCCUGCUUUGUCAUAGUGGCACAGGGAGGAAUUCUCUGAGCUUCGCCCCUCUGCCUUGACAAGGUGCGAAUCUGAGAAAUCCACCAGGGCGUCCAUCAGGACACGCUGGGAAUCCUAAGGUCGAUGCGGGGGAAAGGCAUUGUGACAUCACAGAGCAGGGCAUGACAUCAGACUUGGUCAAGUCACGCCGGCAGCCUCCCCCAGCUCAGACACUUGGAGCAACAGCUCCGUCCUGGUGGUCACUGCUGGAGCUCUGCUCUGCGUGACAGCCAUUUGUGUGUAGAGAUUGUUCUUUGGGAGAGAUCAGGAUGAAGCUCAGCCUGACUCUCUUCCUGGCCAUGGCUCUGAGCAUGUCUCCAUUUGCGGGACGUGGCCCAGGCUGUCCCAGCUAUCUCAGCUGGGUCUGUAGUUGCGACCAAAAGGUCCUUCCUGAGGAGGAGCAUCGGGUGGAGACCAACAGCCAGACCUCCACCUGGCGCUGCAGGCUAGGCCUAAACUCCUGCCCGGUCAGGAUCGAGGACAGAAAGAACAACCCAGUCCUUCCUGAGAAGCAACCUGUGGAGGAGACCAAGAGCCAGACCUCCACCCGGCGCUGCUGGUUUGGCUUAACCUCCUGCCCCAUCAGGACCAAGGACACGAACACAAACCAGGUCCUUCCAGAGGAGCAGCCUACAGAGAAAACCAAGAGCCAAACCUCAUACUGGUCCUGCUUGCUUGGCUCUUCCCAGUGUCCCAUAUGGGUCUGGUACAAGGGCAGCAAAGUUGCUGUUCCACAAGGCCCAAAGCAGCAGUCCCCGGGCACCAAGCAGAAGGCCUACAGCUUGCCUGGCAUCCUGGGCCACCUUUGGGACUACCUUAUGCAAAGCGGGAGAACCUGGCUCCUUACAGCUCCCUUGACAAUUUUCUCCAUUUUCUGGCUGCUGACAACUGCCCGUGCCCACUGGAGAAGAUUAAGAAGACCUCGGGGACAGGGAGCGGGACAAGCGGACCCAGCUUCCUUAGGAACAGAGGAAACGGACAACGUAAAUGCUCUCGACCUGCUCUGCCAGAUGGACGCCUACAUAACCCUAAUGGAGAGACUUAUGACGAUCCUCAUGCAGCACCACGUGAAAAAUGUCAGGAGCCAGCAGUGCAGGAAGACGGUGCACAGCACGGGGGACAGGAAAAGCCCCUCCACAGACUCCUGAGGGAGCUGGCAGAGGUGACUGCCAAGCCGCUCUCGGCUGUUUACCAACAACCACAAGAGACCCCCACCACCCCAAGAGCGUGGUACAACAUGUUAGUAAUUUCUCAGGAUUCCAGCCGGUUUUCUUGGAAUGUAACAAAUAUGUCUAUGUUAUGUCUUUAAAUUUAUAACCACUGCUGUUCUCGGUGUGUGAGUAAGGAGGUGAUAUACCCCUCGCACACGGUGCCACAAUAAACAUGCCUACUUUAAAAUC